rnacentral:rRNA from 1 species
UACGUAGGGGGCGAGCGUCGUCCGGAAUUACUGGGCGUAAAGCGCGUGUAGGCUGCUCGGAAAGUCGGAUGUGAAAGCCCUGGGCUCAACCUAGGAAGUGCAUUCGAAACUUCCGAGCUGGAGUGCUGGAGAGGAAGGCGGAAUUCUCGGUGUAGAGGUGAAAUUCGUAGAUAUCGAGAGGAACACCGGUGGCGAAGGCGGCCUUCUGGACAGCUACUGACGCUGAGGCUCGAAAGCGUGGGGAGCAAACAGG